UGGGGAAUAUUGGACAAUGGGCGAAAGCCUGAUCCAGCGACGCCGCGUGGGUGAAGAAGGCCUUCGGGUUGUAAAGCCCUUUAAGCCGGGACGAAAAAGCUGCACCUAACACGUGCGGCCUUGACGGUACCGGAAGAAUAAGCACCGGCUAACUCUGUGCCAGCAGCCGCGGUAAUACAGAGGGUGCGAGCGUUAAUCGGAUUUACUGGGCGUAAAGCGUGUGUAGGUGGCUUCCUAAGUCGGUUGUGAAAUCCCUGGGCUCAACCUGGGAAUUGCAGUCGAUACUGGGAAGCUCGAGUUCGGUAGAGGACGGCGGAAUUCCCGGUGUAGCGGUGUAAUGCGUAGAUAUCGGGAGGAACAUCGAUGGCGAAAGCAACCGUCUGGGCCUGCACUGACGCUCAUGCACGAAAGCGUGGGGAGCAAA
rnacentral:rRNA from 1 species